rnacentral:rRNA from 1 species
AGUGAACGCUGGCGGUAGGCCUAACACAUGCAAGUCGAACGGCAGCACAGGAGAGCUUGCUCUCUGGGUGGCGAGUGGCGGACGGGUGAGGAAUACAUCGGAAUCUACUUUUUCGUGGGGGAUAACGUAGGGAAACUUACGCUAAUACCGCAUACGACCUACGGGUGAAAGCAGGGGACCUUCGGGCCUUGCGCGAUUGAAUGAGCCGAUGUCUGACUAGCGAGUUGGCGGGGUAAAGGCCCACCAAGGCGACGAUCCGUAGCUGGUCUGAGAGGAUGAUCAGCCACACUAGAACUGAGACACGGUCCAGACUCCUACGGGAGGCAGCAGUGGGGAAUAUUGGACAAUGGGCGCAAGCCUGAUCCAGCCAUACCGCGUGGGUGAAGAAGGCCUUCGGGUUGUAAAGCCCUUUUGUUGGGAAAGAAAUCCAGCUGGCUAAUACCCGGUUGGGAUGACGGUACCCAAAGAAUAAGCACCGGCUAACUCCGUGCCAGCAGCCGCCGUAA